CGGCGCCUCCCAGCCCUGCUCCCUCGCCUAUGCCUCCAUCUCCCGCACCUCCCAGCCCGGCGCCGCCUAGCCCUGCACCUCCCAGCCCGCCUCCCUCGCCUGUGCCUCCGUCUCCCGCACCUCCCAGCCCGGCGCCGCCUAGCCCUGCACCUCCCAGCCCACCUCCCUCGCCUGUGCCUCCAUCUCCCGCACCUCCCAGCCCUCCUCCCUCGCCUUUGCCUCCGUCUCCCGCACCUCCCAGCCCGGCGCCGCCUAGCCCGGCGCCUCCUUACCCUCCUCCCUCGCCUGUGCCCCCUUCUCCCGCACCUCCCAGCCCGGCGCCGCCUAGCCCGGCGCCUCCCAGCCCUCCUCCCUCGCCUGUGCCUCCGUCCCCCACGCCUCCCAGCCCGGCGCCGCCUAGCCCGGCACCUCCCAGCCCUCCUCCCUCGCCUGUGCCUCCGUCUCCCGCACCUCCCAGCCCGGCGCCGCCUAGCCCGGCGCCUCCCAGCCCUCCCCCCUCGCCUGUGCCUCCGUCUCCCGCACCUCCCAGCCCGGCGCCGCCUAGCCCGGCGCCUCCCAGCCCUCCUCCUUCGCCGGUGCCUCCGUAUCCCGCACCUCCCAGCCCGGCGCCGCCGAGUCCUGAGCCACCGUCACCUGCUCCGCCUUACCCGCCUUCACCAGCUCCUCCUUACCCUGCACCGUCAUAUCCACCUUCUCCGGCGCCCUUCUAUCCUCCUUCACCUGCCCCAUCGUAUCCACCUUCUCCUGCACCCUCCUACCCUCCUUCGCCCGCCCCAUCGUAUCCACCUUCUCCGGCGCCCUCCUAUCCGCCUUCACCUGCCCCAUCGUAUCCACCUUCUCCUGCACCCUCCUACCCUCCUUCACCCGCCCCAUCGUAUCCACCUUCUCCGGCGCCCUCCUAUCCUCCUUCACCUGCCCCAUCGUAUCCACCUUCUCCUGCACCCUCCUACCCUCCUUCACCCGCCCCAUCGUAUCCACCUUCUCCGGCGCCCCUCUACCCUCCCUCUCCUGCCCCAUCGUAUCCACCUUCUCCGGCGCCCCUCUACCCUCCCUCUCCUGCUCCGCCGUUUCCCGCACCACCCAGUCCUCCUUCGCCAGGAGCGCCUCGUCCGCCCCGCCCUCCUCCUCCGCCCCCCCCUUCACCCAGGCCC
rnacentral:lncRNA from 1 species